AUAUAUAACUAACAAUGGUGAUCUCAGUGUGUAUAUGAAUGAUAUCU
rnacentral:guide_RNA from 1 species